GAGAGACAGAGAAUAUCAAUGAUAUCAGUGAGAUUUGCCACUGGCUUCUAUUUGGAGUUUUGGAGUUAGUGAAAAAUUAUUUUCCUAAAACAACAAAGAAUUCAAGCCUCUGGAAAAAGCCCACUCCCCUGAAAGGCAACGGAUGUGAAAUGGAAGAGAACUGCGUGCAGGAACCUUAGCGGGAGCCCUUUGCUUUGGAGAGAAGCUCCCAGCUGCAAACACCCAAGCAGAAAGAAAGAAAGAAAACCGCGGGGCAGCCGACCCCACAUUCCAGCAGAGAAUCAGCCUCCCUGCUGUGGUGCCAGCCUCUGCCUGCCUCUCUCUCUCUCUCUCCCCCCUCCUCUGCUUCUUCCCCAGCCUCGCUCAAGCAAUGGAGGACCUCCGGUUAAACAAAGAGAGUGUUGAAUCACGUCUCGUGCCAAGCAAAAGGUCGUUUCAGGUCAUCUUGGAGAUGAAAGGAUGGGGUAAUGUAUGUGAAGGUGCUGGAAUUGACAAGCCAAAAAAAAAAGAAGAAGAAGAAGAAGAGAGAAAUAGGGAGAAGGAGCAGGAAUAUGAGAGCUCCAGCAUUCUAAGAAGAGCAUAGCUAUGCCAAAAAGACACGGGAAAUGUUUUAAAGCAUGACAAGUGCUACCCAAUCUGUAGCUAAUUUCUUAUAAAAAACAACAAUGUGGCUUCUAUUGUGAGAUGUCUGGAGAGUAAUUAAAGUUUCUAAUUGUU